rnacentral:rRNA from 1 species
CAGUAGCCGCGGUAAUACGAAGGGGGCUAGCGUUGUUCGGAAUUACUGGGCGUAAAGCGCACGUAGGCGGAUAUUUAAGUCAGGGGUGAAAUCCCGCAGCUCAACUGCGGAACUGCCUUUGAUACUGGGUAUCUUGAGUAUGGAAGAGGUUAGUGGAAUUGCGAGUGUAGAGGUGAAAUUCGUAGAUAUUCGCAGGAACACCAGUGGCGAAGGCGGCUAACUGGUCCAUAACUGACGCUAAGGUGCGAAAGCGUGGGGAGCAAACAGGAUUAGAUACCCCUGUAGUCCCUGUCUCUUAUAC